GAGUUUGAUCAUGGCUCAGAAUGAACGCUGGCGGCGUGCUUAACACAUGCAAGUCGAACGGUAACAGAAGAGCUUGCUCUUGCUGACGAGUGGCGCACGGGUGAGUAAUGCAUAGGUAACGUGCCCCUUAGUCUAGGAUAGCCACUGGAAACGGUGAUUAAUACUGGAUACUCCUUCUUCCUUAAUGGAAGUUGGGAAAGUUUUUCGCUAAGGGAUCGGCCUAUGUUGUAUCAGGUAGUUGGUGAGGUAAUGGCUCACCAAGCCUAUGACACAUAGCGGGUCUGAGAGGAUGAUCCGCCACACUGGUACUGAGACACGGACCAGACUCCUACGGGAGGCAGCAGUGGGGAAUAUUGCACAAUGGACGAAAGUCUGAUGCAGCAACGCCGCGUGGAGGAUGACACAUUUCGGUGCGUAAACUCCUUUUAUAUGAGAAGAUAAUGACGGUAUCAUAUGAAUAAGCACCGGCUAACUCCGUGCCAGCAGCCGCGGUAAUACGGAGGGUGCAAGCGUUAUUCGGAAUCACUGGGCGUAAAGGGUGCGUAGGCGGUUUGAUAAGUCUGAUGUGAAAUCCUAUGGCUCAACCAUAGAACUGCAUUGGAAACUGUCAGACUAGAAUACUGAAGGGGCAGAUGGAAUUAGUGGUGUAGGGGUAAAAUCCGUAGAUAUCACUAGGAAUACCGAAAGCGAAAGCGAUCUGCUGGGAAGUUAUUGACGCUGAGGCACGAAAGCGUGGGGAGCAAACGGGAUUAGAUACCCCGGUAGUCCACGCCCUAAACGAUGAAUGCUAGUCGUCGGAAAGCUCGUCUUUUCGGUGAUGCAGUUAACACAUUAAGCAUUCCGCCUGGGGAGUACGGUCGCAAGAUUAAAACU
rnacentral:rRNA from 1 species